rnacentral:rRNA from 1 species
UACAGAGGUGGCAAGCGUUGCUCGGAAUCACUGGGCGUAAAGCGCACGUAGGCGGCUCUUUAAGUCAGGGGUGAAAUCCUGGAGCUCAACUCCAGAACUGCCCUUGAUACUGAGGAGCUUGAGUCCGGGAGAGGUGAGUGGAACUGCGAGUGUAGAGGUGAAAUUCGUAGAUAUUCGCAAGAACACCAGUGGCGAAGGCGGCUCACUGGCCCGGUACUGACGCUGAGGUGCGAAAGCGUGGGGAGCAAACAGG